CGGAAAAACACUCAGAUGGACACGAGCAAUUAACAAUGAAACGGCAGCAUUGACUCGGUACGCUUCCUUCAUUGGUUCAUUUCAAAGGUCGGGUUCUGAUGUAGAACAUGCACAGAAGAUAGGAGUGAGCCGACAGAUGUCGCUGUUGUAACGUCACACCCACUCCGUUUAUGAGCCAAUCAGACCAUGACUAAGGACCCGUCGUCAUGCAGCAGCAGCCAAUGAAAGGGCAGGAGAGCGGGUCCAGGGGCGGGGCUGAGGMUGGGGGGGUAAAGCGGAGGGCUGAGAGAGAUGACCCUGCCUUCCCAUCGUCUCCUCCCAGCCCUCUUCCUAUCUUCCUGUUUCCAUCUGAACUGGUGUUCUACUCUGAUCAGAGGAGUUCCCACAGGAGAGUCCUGACUCUCUACAACCCCUACACCUUCACCAUCAGAUUCAAGGUGUUGUGUACAGCCCCAUCUCUGUACUCAGUGGUAGAGGCAGAGGGCAGUGUCAGAGCCAAGUCCUGUGUUGACCU